AUGAAAGUUCCAGGGAUAAUGAUCGGGAGUUGGGAUUGAGUGGCUUCCAUCAAGAUCAGCAAAACUGAAAGAAGGGAGCAGAGAGAGAAGAGAAAUAGAAGGGACGAAAGGGGAAGAUAUGUGAGCCGUGGAAAGAAGAGAGAAGAAAGAAAAGACCAUCAAGAUCAACAAAAGCGAAAGAAAAGAGCAGAGAGAAAAGAGGAAUAGAAGAGACGAAAGCAGAAGAUCUAUCCCUUUGUUUUCUACUUUGACAUCUGGGUAGCCAACUGCAACAGUUUCAAGCUGUGGUCCUUGCAACAGUGAGAAUUUGGUAAGCUUCCAGCUAAGUAAGAUCAACGUCAAUAUCAUUGUUAUCCAUCUUUUGCUCAUAUACCCAAAGGGAUUUCGUUUAACUUUAGCUAUAUUAUUAUCUUCUUGACAGCGAUUGAUCCCAAAUUCAUGUUGUUCGUUUUCUAGGUUUGUAAAAGUCCAAGCAGGCAAGCACUAAGAUACAGAAGACAACAGGACAAAUCAAUCUUUGUUUCUUUUGGAAAAGUUAGAUAUUACGAGUUUGAUUGAUAACAUUGAUUAUAACAAAUUGAAUGUCCUUGCCUUGAUAGAACUUAAUUUCCGAGCUCUUACUAUGUCUAAAAACAAAGCUUCUGUUGUCUCUUUCUUUCCUUAAUUAAAAGUUUAGGGUAAG
rnacentral:lncRNA from 1 species